rnacentral:rRNA from 1 species
AUGGCAAGAUGCAACACACAAGCAAAUUACAUGGCACGACGGCGAAUAACUGGAAGACACCUGGCGCAACGGACUCGGGGCGUUACAACACUCCACCACUACAAGAGGAUCUCGUCCCGAGAUCUAGGAUGGCACCGGGGAGAAACGAAAGAGGAAGAGGUAAAAAAAAGUUGCUUCUUUGACAAACGAGUGAAACCAAAGAACCUUGAGAGGUUGAACAAAUUGAAAGAAAGAAAUACAACGAAUAUGAACAAAGCUGAAAACAAUGCGUUAGAAAAGAGGAACAAGGAACAUUACAGGAACCUUGUAGGUUGA